rnacentral:lncRNA from 1 species
AGGGACCAUUUCAGUAGAGCCUUUUAAGACACAUGUUUUGGAAUACAGUCAAAUGCGUGCUGCUGUAUGACCAGCCUAUUUGAACUACUUAAGCAUCAACUAAUUAAUCUGCAAGUGAAGAAUACUUCCAGCAUUACUCUAUAAUUAGACAAUCUCAGGAGGAAACAAGAGGAUUUCAAAGGGGAGUCAGAUGGUUUCGCAGACCGCUACAUCAUUUAUUUUUUCAUCACUCAGAUUAUGCCUCCAAAUCCUACAGAAGUAUAACAACCAUAGAACAGACAAACACCAACAGCAUCAACAACAGAGAAACUCAGUCCAGGAGGAUAUGAAACCCUUUGUAAUAAAGAAAGCAACAUCCAUGAAAAAAAAAAAAA